AAAAUUAGCCCGAGAAGUCCAUUGUGUCUAUUGAUCUCUCCUGGCAACUGAAGAUUGUGGGCGAGUUCUUGCUCAGUUUCCAGCAUUCACUAAUUUGUGUUCUGAACGCUCUGGGCUUAUUUGAGCAAUUUGAUCUGAACUAGGAUCAGCAGUGGCAACAGAAACAAGAUGAGGUUCUCCAGGAAGACUUUGGGUGUCUGACUGAAUCACACAUAAACUGGACUGGAUCCAGAGCUGCAUUGGAAUUAAGGACUUCCAGUACAAUCUUGAAAAGCAGUGGUGAGAAGGGGCACCCACACCUUACUCCUCAUCUUAGGAGGAAAGCAUGUAAGUUUCUUGCCAUUAAAUACGAAGUUAGCUGCAGGUUUUAUUUGUAGAUAUUCUUGAUCAAAUUGAGGAAAUUUCCCCAUUCCCAGUUUACUGAGAAUUUUAAAAAAUCAUAAAUGGGUGUUAGAUUUUGUCAAAUGCUUUUUCUGUAUCUAUUGAUAAAAUAUAAUUUUUAAAAUCUAGCUAGUUUAUAUGGUAGAAUAUAUUAGUCAAUUUUCAAAUGCUGAACCAGCUUUUUAUAUCUGGUAUAAAUCCCACUUGGUUGUGUUUUGUAAUUCUUUUAUACAUUGCUGAAUUCAAUUUACUAAUAUUUUGUUGAGAAUUUUUACAUCUCUGUUUAUGAGACAUAUUGUUCUGUAGUUUUCCUUUCUUACAAUAUCUUUAUCUGGUUUUGGUAUUAGGGCAAGUCUGGCCUCAUAUAAGUUAAGAAGUGUUCAUUCUGCUUCUAUGUUUUGGAAGAGAUCAUAAAGAGUUGAUAUCAUUUCUUCAUUAAAUGUUUGGUAAAAUUCACAAUAAAACCAUUUGGGCCUGAUGCUAUGUUUUUUUG
rnacentral:lncRNA from 13 species